rnacentral:rRNA from 1 species
UAUCUCUGUAGAGUCUGCAUAUCAAUAAGCGGAGGAAAAGAAACUAACUAGGAUUCCCUCAGUAACGGCGAGUGAAGCGGGAAGAGCUCAAAUUUGAAAUCUUCAAGGUUCUACCUUGACGAAUUGUAGUUUAAAGAAGAGUUUUCUGUUGGAGUUUUGGUAAAAGUUCCUUGGAAUAGGACAUCAUAGAGGGUGAGAAUCCCGUAUUUGACCAUUAUUUCCAGCUUUGUGAUACACUUUCAAAGAGUCGGAUUGUUUGGGAAUGCAGUCCAAAAUGGGUGGUAAAUUUCAUCUAAAGCUAAAUACUGGCGAGAGACCGAUAGCGAACAAGUACCGUGAGGGAAAGAUGAAAAGAACUUUGAAAAGAGAGUUAAACAGUACGUGAAAUUGUCAAAAGGGAAGCGUUUGACACCAGUGUUGUUUUCUCGAAAAUCAAUUAAAAAAGGCAGGAUUUUGUGUUGUAUUGACUUUAUCAGCUUUCUGCACUCUUUUCUUGUCUUUUUUAAUGCACUUUUCGUUUAACAAGUCAACAUCAAUUUCUUUUGUUGUAAAAGGGUCAUUGGAAGGUGGCUUUCACUUCGGUGAAAGUGUUUAUAGCCUUUGGCUUCUGCAAUCGGAGAGAUUGAGGUCUGCAGCGUAGAUCCUUCGGGGCUAGAUACAUUUGUGCUAAGUUAUAGCCUUUCAUAGACAACUUGUUGACUAUGAUCAGUCAUGUAGCUUACUCGCUUAUGCUAUUUUACCUACGCUUAGGAUGUUGAAGUCAUCGUAUCGCGC